UAUAGGUGGCUCCACAAUAUUGAGAUUGUUUCUUUUUUGUCUGCAGGCAAUAUUUUCUCCUUAAGCUGGUAGUUCUGGAAUUUGGCUCCAAUAUUCCUGGGAGUUAUCCUUUUGGAAUAUCUUUUCGGAGAAUCCCCUUAUGAUUUGUGGCUGAAAGCUCCAGGAGCCUUGGCUGAUGAUUCAGGCACUCCCAACAUCUGUUGCUGUGGUAUAAUGUUACUUCACUAUCAGAGGCCUGCAGAAAUUAGCCCAUUCUCCUGCCCCAAAGUCAGAGAGAAGACUCAAAGUAAAUCUCUUUAG
rnacentral:lncRNA from 1 species